rnacentral:rRNA from 1 species
UACAGAGGUGGCAAGCGUUGUUCGGAAUUACUGGGCGUAAAGGGCGCGUAGGCGGUCUUGCAAGUCCCGUGUGAAAUCCCUCGGCUCAACUGAGGAAUUGCACGGGAAACUGCUUGGCUUGAGAUCGGGAGAGGGAAGCGGAAUUCCGGGUGUAGCGGUGAAAUGCGUAGAUAUCCGGAGGAACACCGGUGGCGAAGGCGGCUUCCUGGACCGACACUGACGCUGAGGCGCGAAAGCUAGGGGAGCAAACGGGAUUAGAUACCCCGGUAGUCCUAGCUGUAAACGAUGAGUGCUGGGUGUAGGGGGUAUUGACCCCCCCUGUGCCGAAGCUAACGCAUUAAGCACUCCGCCUGGGGAGUACGGUCGCAAGACUAAA